rnacentral:rRNA from 1 species
UGGCGGCAUGGCUUACACAUGCAAGUCGAACGGUAACAGGUCUUCGGAUGCUGACGAGUGGCGAACGGGUGAGUAAUACAUCGGAACGUGCCCGAUCGUGGGGGAUAACGGAGCGAAAGCUUUGCUAAUACCGCAUACGAUCUACGGAUGAAAGCGGGGGAUCUUCGGACCUCGCGCGGACGGAGCGGNCGAUGGCAGAUUAGGUAGUUGGUGGGAUAAAAGCUUACCAAGCCGACGAUCUGUAGCUGGUCUGAGAGGAUGAUCAGCCACACUGGGACUGAGACACGGCCCAGACUCCUACGGGAGGCAGCAGUGGGGAAUUUUGGACAAUGGGGGCAACCCUGAUCCAGCCAUGCCGCGUGCAGGAUGAAGGCCUUCGGGUUGUAAACUGC